rnacentral:lncRNA from 1 species
AGUGUACAGAAAAUGCACUAUUUAAUACUCAUUAAAUGCAGUACAAUCAAUGAAGAUUAUCAAAUAAGAAACACACACAGCAUUCUAAAUUUUUAAAUCAUCUUAGGGCUGCUAUAUCAGGGAUUGUACAAAUUGUAUCUAGGAGUGACUCCCGACAUUAAAGCCACAUUAGAGCAAGAAUUAGCCAAUUCAAUGUUUAAUGAAACAGAUCACCUUUUUUCUUUGUAAAAGCACUGAAAAUGUAAUGUGUGCUGAUAACUCAC